GCAGCUUAGCUUCGGGCUGACGCUAAUGCAAAUCAUCGAUGUGGACGAGAAGAAUCAAUUGCUAAUAACAAAUAUUUGGCUCAAAUUGGCACGAUGAGGGUUUCGACGGCACCUGCGCCACCAAUAUUGUGGUUUGGAAUAACGGCUCGUGUCUGUUGUGUCGCCUGGAAUUUUUAAGUCCACCUGCAAAAUCGACAUCACGUGGUUUCCAUUCGACGAUCAGCGUUGUGAAAUGAAAUUCGGCUCAUGGACAUACGAUAGCUUACAGGUGAGCUUUUACACAAUUUAGUGAACAAUAUACUUAAAUUAACUAAUGAACUCAAUUAACACCAAAUUAAGUUAAUCACUUCUAAAUUCAAAGUGGAAAAAACAAUAAAAUCCAAAUAAAAAUCCAUCGGUGGCAAGCAUGACAAAAGUAAGCAGAGCCCGAACAGUAACCACUAAUGGACCCACAAACGAGUUUAACACGCCGCGAACAAUCUCAUCGAUGUAAUUUGGUGGAAUUAUUUUAAUGGCUUUUUAAUUCGUUCUUUACAGAGUCAUCAGUUUACUCAUUUGUCGGUUUUCUCCCUCUCUCUUUCUGUUAUCCAAACUGUUUGCUCCUUUUCCACGAGCAUUGAUUGUCAUUGUUAUUACUGUGUCAUCAUUAUGAGCAGCUAUUAAAGUUUUUGUUGCAAUUUUUGGAUUCUAUACUGAUUUGGUAUCAAAUUGGCAAGAAGAGUGUAAGGUGGAAAUUGUGCAAGAGAAUUGAUAAAAAUUGUAUUUAAUGGUCUAAAUGUGCCCCAUUGAAUAUAACCUUAAGAAGGAAAAUCUCCGCACCAAAGCCAAAAAUCUUAACUUCACUCAAAAGUAAUAACGGGAGCAGCUGGCAAACAUGAUUCAAAUAUCCAAUCGCCUUUAACAAUAUUAUUUGUUUGUAUGGCCAAAGAAAUCUAUUAUGGCUUCAGCAAAAGCAAAAGAAGCGAAGUUGGGAAACUGAAACCACGGAAUAUCGAUUUGAAUCUUAAGAACACUUCCUGAUUGAUUCAUGUGAGCCCUACAACUCAACCAAAGGCACUGUCUGCACUGAAGUUGGCGUUGCGGUGGUGCUCUGAAAGCUUUUGGUGUCUUUGCGGCUUCUAAGUGUUGCUUUAAG